rnacentral:rRNA from 1 species
AUUGAACGCUGGCGGCAUGCUUUACACAUGCAAGUCGAACGGUAACAGGUCUUCGGAUGCUGCCGAGUGGCGAACGGGUGAGUAAUACAUCGGAACGUGCCUAGUAGUGGGGGAUAACUACUCGAAAGAGUAGCUAAUACCGCAUGAGAUCUACGGAUGAAAGCAGGGGACCUUCGGGCCUUGUGCUACUAGAGCGGCUGAUGGCAGAUUAGGUAGUUGGUGGGGUAAAGGCUUACCAAGCCUGCGAUCUGUAGCUGGUCUGAGAGGACGACCAGCCACACUGGGACUGAGACACGGCCCAGACUCCUACGGGAGGCAGCAGUGGGGAAUUUUGGACAAUGGGCGAAAGCCUGAUCCAGCAAUGCCGCGUGCAGGAUGAAGGCCCUCGGGUUGUAAACUGCUUUUGUACGGAACGAAAAGCCUGGGGCUAAUAUCCCCGGGUCAUGACGGUACCGUAAGAAUAAGCACCGGCUAACUACGUG